UACAGAGGGGGCAAGCGUUGUUCGGAAUUACUGGGCGUAAAGGGCGCGUAGGCGGCUUGUUAAGUCGAACGUGAAAUCCCCGGGCUCAACCCGGGAACUGCGUCCGAUACUGGCAGGCUUGAAUCCGGGAGAGGGAUGCGGAAUUCCAGGUGUAGCGGUGGAAUGCGCAGAUAUCAGGAGGAACACCGAUGGCGGAGGCAGGUCUCUGGGCCACUACUGACGCUGAGAAGCGAAAGCAUGGGGAGCGAACAGG
rnacentral:rRNA from 1 species